AGUCGUUGUAGUUGAUUUUCUAGAAUAAUAGUAUAUUGAGUGACAUUGACAAAGUAUAUUAACAAUGAAGCAAUGAAAAAGUGACAGAGAAUUUGAGGAAGGUUGAAAAAGCGGUAUCAUAUAUCUCUUGAAAAAAAUAGUUUCUAGAUAAAGACUCUAAAACGUCUAAUUUCCUUCUCUACAGCAUAUAUUGCAGUAGUUUAAAAAACUUUUAUACGAGUUACUGAAAUGCUGGGGGGUGUCAUGUUUGUGGAAGUAUCAAGAGUCUUUCAUUUCUUAAUAGCCUUACUUUAAAGUGUAUCUGAAAUGUUAACUUCAGAAUCACUAAACUGCUGACUGGAAUAUAUUUUAUUUCCUAUAUGUCUAGGACUCUAGGUCGUGG
rnacentral:lncRNA from 1 species